rnacentral:rRNA from 1 species
GCUUAGCCCUAAACCCAGAUAGUUGUUGAACAAAACUAUCCGCCAGAGAACUACUAGCAACAGCUUAAAACUCAAAGGACUUGGCGGUGCUUCACACCCCUC